GAGGCCCCUCCCUUAGUUAAAGUGUCUGAGUUGCAUUCAGGAGAUGUAUAUUAGAAUUAUACAGGCUUUC
rnacentral:tRNA from 1 species